UACGAGGGGUGCAAGCGUUAUUCGGAUUUAUUGGGCGUAAAGGGUGCGUAGGUGGUAUGUUAAGUCUGUUGUUAAAUUUUCCGGCCUAACCGGAAGCAUGCAAUGGAAACUGGCGUACUUGAGGAUGGAAGAGGGAAGUGGAAUUCUCGGAGUAGCGGUAAAAUGCGUGGAUCUCGAGAGGAACACCGAUGGCGAAGGCAGCUUCCUGGUCCAUAUCUGACACUGAGGCACGAAAGCGUGGGGAGCAAACAGG
rnacentral:rRNA from 1 species